UGUGAUUUGAACAUUAAGUGAUUAGUGGUCAUCCUUGGUCGAUUAUAGAGGGGAGAAGAGAGCUCUGUAGGCCUUCUGUUUCCUCAGGCCGAGUGUGAAGCAACAGAAGGGGAAAUUGAGUUCAUCAUUGGCUGUGAAAGCGUGUACAAUGCUAUGGUGAUGCUAUGAUGAUGAACAUAUAAGAGUCCACUAUCGUUGUCUAUGUUGGUUAUAUUCAUGUAAUUGACCUGUUAAUGUGGUGACUGAGAACAAAGAGACAAGAGAGUUUGAUGUAAAGAAAAAAUAACAUCUUUAUUGAUUUCAACCACUGUAACAAGCCUUACUAUGUAACACCCUUAAGAUUUGCAUAAUUAACGCUGCACUGUUAAGUGCAGUCUGGAAUAAACGAUCCCCUUAAAAAAA